GAUGAACGCUGGCGGCGUGCCUAAUACAUGCAAGUCGAGCGAACAGAUGAGGAGCUUGCUCCUCUGACGUUAGCGGCGGACGGGUGAGUAACACGUGGAUAACCUACCUAUAAGACUGGGAUAACUUCGGGAAACCGGAGCUAAUACCGGAUAAUAUAUUGAACCGCAUGGUUCAAUAGUGAAAGACGGUUUUGCUGUCACUUAUAGAUGGAUCCGCGCCGCAUUAGCUAGUUGGUAAGGUAACGGCUUACCAAGGCAACGAUGCGUAGCCGACCUGAGAGGGGGAUCGGCAGCAGUGGAACUGAGACACGGUGAAGACGACUACGGGAGGAAGAAGUAGGGAAUAUUCCGAAAUGGGCGAAAGCAUGACGGAGCAACGACGGGGGAGUGAUGAAGGUCUUAGGAUCGUAAAACUAUGUGAUUAGGGAAGAACAUAUGUGUAAGUAAAUGUGCACAUCUGGACGGUACCUAAUAAGAAAGACACGGCUAACUACGUG
rnacentral:rRNA from 1 species